rnacentral:tmRNA from 1 species
GGGGGCGCAAUGGCUUCGACGGGGAUUGCGCAUGCGGGAAUAGCCAUCCGCAGACGGUGCCUGCGAAUAAAAACCGACAAUAAAUUUAAUCGACAACGAUUAUUCUUUAGUCGCCGCGUAAUGCGGCCGUCGACCUAUAAGUAACCUGCUGCUUUAGGUAUCGGCGUCGACUAGGCGGGGAACUUGCGCGCCAAAGCUUUGAGGCGCGUGAAGAUCCAUGAAGCUACUUGAAAGCGAGUCGUGUUGGCUUGCCUCGCUGGAUGGGAAUUUUGAAUAACCAACUGUGAUGGGAGAAGUUUUCGUUUGCAGAUUUUCGGACCCGGGUUCAAUUCCCGGCGCCUCCAUUA